AUGAGUGGAGCUUGCUCCAUGAUUCAGCGGCGGACGGGUGAGUAAUGCCUAGGAAUCUGCCUGGUAGUGGGGGACAACGUUUCGAAAGGAACGCUAAUACCGCAUACGUCCUACGGGAGAAAGUGGGGGAUCUUCGGACCUCGCGCUAUCAGAUGAGCCUAGGUCGGAUUAGCUAGUUGGUGAGGUAAAGGCUCACCAAGGCGACGAUCCGUAACUGGUCUGAGAGGAUGAUCAGUCACACUGGAACUGAGACACGGUCCAGACUCCUACGGGAGGCAGCAGUGGGGAAUAUUGGACAAUGGGCGAAAGCCUGAUCCAGCCAUGCCGCGUGUGUGAAGAAGGUCUUCGGAUUGUAAAGCACUUUAAGUUGGGAGGAAGGGCAGUAAGUUAAUACCUUGCUGUUUUGACGUUACCAACAGAAUAAGCACCGGCUAACUUCGUGCCAGCAGCCGCGGUAAUACGAAGGGUGCAAGCGUUAAUCGGAAUUACUGGGCGUAAAGCGCGCGUAGGUGGUUCGUUAAGUUGGAUGUGAAAGCCCCGGGCUCAACCUGGGAACUGCAUCCAAAACUG
rnacentral:rRNA from 1 species